rnacentral:rRNA from 1 species
GACGAACGCUGGCGGCGUGCUUAACACAUGCAAGUCGAACGGAAAGGCCCUGCUUUUGUGGGGUGCUCGAGUGGCGAACGGGUGAGUAACACGUGAGUAACCUGCCCUUGACUUUGGGAUAACUUCAGGAAACUGGGGCUAAUACCGGAUAGGAGCUCCUGCUGCAUGGUGGGGGUUGGAAAGUUUCGGCGGUUGGGGAUGGACUCGCGGCUUAUCAGCUUGUUGGUGGGGUAGUGGCUUACCAAGGCUUUGACGGGUAGCCGGCCUGAGAGGGUGACCGGCCACAUUGGGACUGAGAGACGGCCCAGAGUCCUACGGGAGGCAGCAGUGGGGAAUAUUGCACAAUGGGCGGAAGCCUGAUGCAGCAACGCUGCGUGCGGGAUGACGGCCUUCGGGGUGUAAACCGCUUUCGCCUGUGACGAAGCGUGAGUGACGGUAAUGGGUAAAGAAGCACCGGCUAACUACGUG